AACCAUUCUCACCUGCGGCUAGACCUGCGGAAGGAUCAUUACAGAGUUGCAAAACUCCCUAAACCAUUGUGAACGUUACCUAAACCGUUGCUUCGGCGGGCGGCCCGGGUCCUUCCCGGCGCCCCUCGGCCCUCGCGGGCGCCCGCCGGAGGUAAACCAAACUAUUGCAUUGUAUGGCCUCUCUGAGUCUUCUGUACUGAAUAAGUCAAAACUUUCAGCAACGGAUCUCAGAUCGGAAGA
rnacentral:misc_RNA from 1 species